rnacentral:lncRNA from 1 species
UCAAUGGGGUUCCUUACUACACAUGAACCAAAUAUCCAAUUUAUGAAUUAACCAGUCGUCCCCAUACUCCAUCAGGUAAUUAACGUCAAAUGUAUCACCGCCUUAAUACCCUGUUCGGUAAUGGACGCCAAACGUACCACCGCCUCAAUACCCCGUCUAGUACGACGAUGAUCAGAUACGUUUGAGGAGACGUGGUCCGUUCCCAACUGUUGGAUCAAUCCUAUAUAGAGAAUGAAUCUGGACCGCACGAUCAGAUGCUAUCAGGGUUGUUCGAUCGCAUCUGAAGGAGAAAUGAAUCUGGACCGUUCGUAGGCGCAAGAGUAGAUCUGGGCCGUCAGAUCUAUUAGCACGAGGAUCGCUCGCGUUGCUUCCUGCGUGGACGCAUGUCCGCGUGUUUGCCACGUGGCAAACAGCGACCGGUUGUGCUGCUGACAUGGCAGUUCACGUGGCCACUUUUAUAUUAUUUUUACUUUUGCCCCUAGUUAUUAAGAUUUCUUUUCAAAUAUAUCAUUUUUUAUUUCUUGUUUGGCAAUGAUUUUUG